AUCCAACUGUCAAGUCCCAAAUAGGACGAAACGGGGCGUCUAACUGGAU
rfam:Schistosoma haematobium scaffold1073_6, whole genome shotgun sequence.